GUGAGUGUUAGAAAUGGGACACUUGUUUCCCUGUUCUUAUUCUACAAUGCGAGUAAGGGAACCUAACAACAAUGGAGGAGAUGGAAGCUACAAAUCUCUCAAAAAUUCGAACUUGGCAGUGAAAUUGGCAUGAUAGAGAGAGAAGAUUAAAGCGAGUGUUGAUGGAAGAUAGGAUACCGCAAGAAAGAGGGAGGGGAUGGGUAGAGAAGUGACGGCGAGGCGGCGGCGGGAGGUGGAGGACAGGGGUCCGGAGAGCGGCCGAGCUGGAGGAGGAGAGGCGAGCUCCGCCUAGCACCGCCGUCGCCGCCGGAGAAGAAGCUGCGAACGCCGCCAUAGCUCUCCGGAAUGAAUGUAAUCUCGGCAGCUGCCUACCUUUCUGCUCUGCUGCUCUUGACUUCCGGCGACUCCUCU
rnacentral:lncRNA from 1 species